UACGUAGGUGGCAAGCGUUGUCCGGAUUUACUGGGCGUAAAGCGUGCGUAGGCGGUUUAGUGUGUGGGAAUUGAAAGCCCGGGGCUCAACUCCGGAUCCGGUUCCCAAACUGCUAGACUUGAGCGUAUCAGAGGACAGUGGAAUUCCCGGUGUAGCGGUAAUAUGCGUAGAUAUCGGGAGGAACACCUGUGGCGAAGGCGGCUCUCUGGACCGUAACUGACGCUGAGGCGCGAAAGCGUGGGGAGCGAACAGG
rnacentral:rRNA from 1 species